rnacentral:lncRNA from 1 species
CUUGCUCGAGGUCUGGGGCGUCACGGACACCGUCAUGACCCCGCCCCGACGCGACCCGGUGCCCGACAAGGAUCGCUCGCGAGCCCGGCGACCAGCAUGUGUGCACUCUCGACGCACCAUGUGGUGUAUGCCACAUUGCCCCGUGGGUUGGGCCUGCAUGGCGUGCCGAUCUGUAGCACAUCCUCCGCCUCGUCACUGGCCAAUCUGUAUGCGUUUUCUCGGAGCUAGCCGUAAGGAGGCAGAUGGCUUCCCGUUUUAGUAACGCGAUGCUGAAGCGACAACACAAACACACCAUGUUCUAUUCUUUUUCUUUUUGAAGAUCACACCAGGUUAUAUUUGUACACCAUUUUUCUACCAGUAAUUGCUGAGUAUGUGAACACAAUCAUUUGUGAGCAAAAGUUGAACUAUAAGUUGCGAUAUUUGAGAUGUGUACACAUAGAAAGGCAUCAAUUCAAUUGAUCAUCAGAUUCAGAAUAGUAC